UUACGGAAGGCAGCAGUUGGGAAUCUUGGACAAUGGGGGAAACCCUGAUCCAGCCAUGCCGCGUGAGUGAUGAAGGCCUUCGGGUUGUAAAACUCUUUCGCGCACGACGAUAAUGACGGUAGUGCGAGAAGAAGCUCCGGCUAACUUCGUGCCAGCAGCCGCGGUAAUACGAAGGGGGCUAGCGUUGUUCGGAAUUACUGGGCGUAAAGCGCGCGCAGGCGGCUAUCCAAGUCAGUGGUGAAAGCCCGGAGCUCAACUCCGGAACUGCCAUUGAAACUGUUUAGCUUGAGUAUGAGAGAGGUGAGUGGAAUUCCCAGUGUAGAGGUGAAAUUCGUAGAUAUUGGGAAGAACACCGGUGGCGAAGGCGGCUCACUGGCUCAUUACUGACGCUCAGGCGCGACAGCGUGGGGAUCAAACAGGAUUAGAUACCCGCGUAGUCCC
rnacentral:rRNA from 1 species